rnacentral:rRNA from 1 species
AUACGGAGGAUCCGAGCGUUAUCCGGAUUUAUUGGGUUUAAAGGGUGCGCAGGCGGCCAUUUAAGUCAGCGGUUAAAUCGUGGGGCUCAACCCCAUUCUGCCGUUGAUACUGGGUGGCUUGAUUGCGGUCGAGGUUGGCGGAAUUCGUUGUGUAGCGGUGAAAUGCAUAGAUAUGACGAAGAACACCGAUUGCGUAGGCAGCUGACCAACCCGCAAAUGACGCUCAUGCACUAAAGUGCGCGGAUCGAACAGGAUUAGAUACCCUUGUAGUCCGCACAGUAAACGAUGAAUACUUGUUUUCGGCGAUAUAAUGUCGGAGGCAAAGCGAAAGCGAUAAGUAUUCCACCUGGGGAGUACGCCGUCAACGGUGAAACUCAAAGGAAUUGACGGGG